rnacentral:rRNA from 1 species
GAUGAACGCUGGCGGCGUGCCUAAUACAUGCAAGUCGAGCGAACGGACGAGAAGCUUGCCUCUCUGAUGUUAGCGGCGGACGGGUGAGUAACACGUGGAUAACCUACCUAUAAGACUGGGAUAACUUCGGGAAACCGUAGCUAAUACCGGAUAAUAUUUUGAACCGCAUGGUUCAAAAGUGAAAGACGGUCUUGCUGUCACUUAUAGAUGGAUCCGCGCUGCAUUAGCUAGUUGGUAAGGUAACGGCUUACCAAGGCAACGAUGCAUAGCCGACCUGAGAGGGUGAUCGGCCACACUGGAACUGAGACACGGUCCAGACUCCUACGGGGGGCAGCAGUAGGGAAUCUUCCGCAAUGGGCGAAAGCCUGACGGAGCAACGCCGCGUGAGUGAUGAAGGUCUUCGGAUCGUAAAACUCUGUUAUUAGGGAAGAACAUAUGUGUAAGUAACUGUGCACAUCUUGACGGUACCUAAUCAGAAAGCCACGGCUAACUACGUG